rnacentral:lncRNA from 1 species
UCUCUUCUCACAAGCUGUCGGCAUCUCUACCCAUCCAUCUCUACCUGAUGCCAACGCCAUCUGCCUUGCCACCGCCAGAAGUCGCUCCGUAUCGGUUCGAUGACGAAAAAAUCUCAAACAUAAAGUUAUCCUCUUAUUUUUUUCGUGAUUUGAGUGAUGAUAUGAAUGUUUAUUGUUAAUCUAGCUAGAUCUGUUGAUUGACAAUAAUCUCAUUUUGAUUUCAGAGAGAAGAUUGACCAUUUGCUUCAAAUCUUGAAAUUUUCCUUUCUUUCUUUUUUUCAUUUUUUUUAGAUUCUCUACAUUAGGGUUUUGCUGGAGCAUAUGAUGUUUUUUGGUUGUUUCUCUACAACAAUAUAGUUGUUUAAGUUACUUUUUAAUUGCUUUCAG